rnacentral:lncRNA from 1 species
AAGAAAUAUUCCCUUUAAUUUGACAGCUGUAGGAAAUUAGCCCUGCGUUUCAUUGCAUAACAAUUUUUCUAAGUCAUAAACACAAAGCUUUUGUGUUUAAAGCACCAUUUUUGGGGGUGUUUCUGUAAUACUUUUUUAUUCUUGAGGAGUUUGAAAUGUUUUUUUGAAAACAGGACUAAAGCUUGUUAACAAGGGGAAAAGGCGGGAGAAUUUGAUUGAUUAACUUUCAGUGAUGGUUAUUAUCUUAUAUGCAAUGAAAUGUUGUGUAAAUAUUGUUAGUUGUACUGGGUAGGAUAAAGCUUUUCUCUGCCAAGUAUUUCUUUAUUUAAAACAAAGAUAUAUUCUGCACAAUAUGUUUUACAAAUUUAACAAAGACCAGUAAGAUAAAUCAGUGGUGGUAUUACUCAAUUACGAAUUAGUGAUAUAUCAUAUAGCAUCAUAAUUUUAACGGUAACAAUAACGAUUUCAAAUCGACAAUUUAUGUUUCAAAUGAUCUUUGGUACAUACCAAUUUACUUUGAAUUUCAACAUGACUUGUAAUGUUUGUGGUUGCUGUUUUGUAAAUA